rnacentral:rRNA from 1 species
GACGAACGCUGGCGGCGUGCCUAAUACAUGCAAGUCGAACGGUCUUUUCUAUGGAAGCUUGCUUCCACUGAGAAGAUAGUGGCGAACGGGUGAGUAACACGUGGGUAACCUGCCCAUAAGAGGGGGAUAACAUCCGGAAACGGGUGCUAAUACCGCAUAGUUUUCUUGAUCGCAUGAUCGAGAAAGGAAAGACGGCCUUUGCGCUGUCGCUUAUGGAUGGACCCGCGGCGUAUUAGGUAGUUGGUGAGGUAACGGCUCACCAAGACGAUGAUACGUAGCCGACCUGAGAGGGUGAUCGGCCACAUUGGGACUGAGUCACGGCCCAAACUCCUACGGGAGGCAGCAGUAGGGAAUCUUCCGCAAUGGACGAAAGUCUGACGGAGCAACGCCGCGUGAGUGAAGAAGGUUUUCGGAUCGUAAAACUCUGUUGUCAGAGAAGAACAAGUCGGAGAGUAACUGCUCCGGCCUUGACGGUAUCUGACCAGAAAGCCACGGCUAACUACGUGCCAGCCGCCGCAGUAACAC